UACGAAGGGGGCUAGCGUUGCUCGGAAUUACUGGGCGUAAAGGGAGCGUGGGCGGAUAGUUCAGUCAGAGGUGAAAGCCCAGGGCUCAACCUUGGAAUUGCCUUUGAUACUGGCUGUCUUGAGUAUGGGAGAGGUUAGCGGAACUCCGAGUGUAGAGGUGAAAUUCGUAGAUAUUCGGAAGAACACCAGUGGCGAAGGCGGCUAACUGGCCCAUUACUGACGCUGAGGCUCGAAAGCGUGGGGAGCAAACAGG
rnacentral:rRNA from 1 species